rnacentral:lncRNA from 1 species
CUCAGGAGCAUCCAAGGUUCCAUCCUCUGCAGCUGAUUCAGUGCAGGAAUUCCAGCUGGAAGUGAGGAUCAUGACCAUCAUGGGACAGUGAGAAAUGAGACUCGGGGCUGCCUUGGUUUUUAUCGUUGUUUUGCUUCCUUAAUCUCAGAGCAGGCUGUGGUGUUUCCUUCACACGACUUCUCACCUGAGUUUACAGCCUGGCAGGAUAAAUCAGAUGACCUUUAAAAAGUAAAAGGCUGUUCUCCAAGCAUCUCAGACUGAAGGCUCUUGGACUCAAGCUCUGCAGUGAAGUCAAUUUUCUUGCUAUUAAACCACUGAUACAUUUACAGUGUGGGCUCCUUACAUCAUCUGACAUUUUGACAUCAGUCUGAGAGGAACCCUGGCCUGCUAAAUUGGGAUGUUAUUUAUGAUAAAUGUGUCAAAACCACUUCAGACAUGUCUGUUAUGGCCACACUCUUCAUAUUUAUCCAUUUCAUGCUCUGAGAGUCAUGUGUUCUACACAUGUUAGAAGAAAUCACUGUGGGGCUACAGGAAAAUUCAGAUCUUUCCAUCCUCCAAGGGCAGAAUGUUCAGUGGCAGCCAGUCAGUUCUACACUGCUUAAAGUGCUUGGGACAUGCUGGGAGAUAAUUGUACAGGUGACAAAAUGCAACACAAACCCUCAGUUGGAGCCUAUGGCUGGUGAGGAGGUUUUGUCACCGAGCUGAUGACAGCUGAUCACUGAAACUUCUCUCAGGUAAAUCACA